rnacentral:misc_RNA from 1 species
UUUCCGUAGGUGAACCUGCGGAAGGAUCAUUAUUGUAUAACCGAGGCGCGAGGGCUGUCGCUGACCCGAAAGGUCGUGCACGCCCGAGUGCCCUCACACACAUCCAUCUCACCCCUAUGUGCACCACCGCGUGGGUCCCCCUUUGGCUUGUUCGGAGGGGGGCUUACGUUUUCACACAAACUUUGUAUGCAGUGUAGAAUGUAUUUUUUGUUUUUGCGAUCACGCAAUCAAUACAACUUUCAACAACGGAUCUCUUGGCUCUCGCGUCGAUGAAGAACGCAGC